rnacentral:rRNA from 1 species
UACGUAGGGUGCGAGCGUUGUCCGGAAUUAUUGGGCGUAAAGAGCUCGUAGGCGGUGUGUCACGUCGGCCGUGAAAACCUGCAGCUUAACUGUGGGCGUGCGGUCGAUACGGGCAUCACUGGAGUUCGGCAGGGGAGACUGGAAUUCCUGGUGUAGCGGCGAAAUGCGCAGAUAUCAGGAGGAACACCGGUGGCGAAGGCGGGUCUCUGGGCCGAUACUGACGCUGAGGAGCGAAAUCGUGGGGAGCAAACAGG